UACGUAGGUGGCAAGCGUUGUCCGGAUUUACUGGGCGUAAAGCGUAUGCAGGCGGAUGGUUAAGUAGGAAGUGAAAGGUUGGAGCUCAACUCUAACACUGCUCCCUAUACUGGCCGUCUUGAGUGCCGGAGAGGACAAGGGAACUUCACGUGUAGCGGUGAAAUGCGUUGAGAUGUGAAGGAACACCAAUGGCGAAAGCACUUGUCUGGACGGAGACUGACGCUGAGAUACGAAAGCCAAGGGAGCGAACAGGA
rnacentral:rRNA from 1 species